UUCCCUACCAUCAAGAUAUUCGGA
rnacentral:piRNA from 1 species